UAGGGAAUUUUCGUCAAUGGGCGCAAGCCUGAAACGAGCAAUGCCGCGUGAACGAGGAAGGUCUUCGGAUCGUAAUUACUUAGAAAGUCACGGCUAACUACGUGCC
rnacentral:rRNA from 1 species